UACGUCCACACCUUUUAGGUGUGGAUCGGUUGACUGUCAUACUUCCAAGAAAAGCUCGAACUACUGUAAAGCAUCACGUACCUGUACCGUAAACCGACACAGGUGGGUUGGUAGAGUAUACCAAGGGGCGCGAGAUAACUCUCUCUAGGGAACUCGGCAAAAUGACCCCGUAACUUCGGGAGAAGGGGUGCCAAGUAACUCAAAUUGCUUGGUCGCAGUGACCAGGCCCUGGCGACUGUUUAUCAAAAACACAGGUCUCCGCAAAGUCGUAAGACAACAUAUGGGGGCUGACGCCUGCCCAGUGCCGGAAGGUUAAAGAAGUUGGUUAUUUACUCGUGGAGAAGCUGACGACUGAAGCCCCGGUGAACGGCGGCCGUAACUAUAACGGUCCUAAGGUAGCGAAAUUCCUUGUCGGGUAAGUUCCGACCCGCACGAAAGGCGUAACGAUCAGGGCACUGUCUCGGAGAGAGACUCGGUGAAAUAGACAUGUCUGUGAAGAUGCGGACUACCUGCACCUGGACAGAAAGACCCUAUGAAGCUUGACUGUAGCCUGGAAUUGGGUUCGGGCUCUUCUUGCGCAGCCUAGGUGGGAGGCGUUGAAGGCUUUCUUUUGGGGAAGCUGGAGCCAUCAGUGAGAGACCACUCUGGAGGAGCUAGAAUUCUAAUGGCGUUCCUUGAAGCAGGACGCUUGACAGUUUCAGGUGGGCAGUUUGACUGGGGCGGUCACCUCCUAAAAGGUAACGGAGGUGUGCAAAGGUUCCCUCAGGCUGGACGGAAAUCAGCCGUAGAGUGUAAAGGCAGAAGGGAGCUUGACUGCAAGACCUACAAGUCGAGCAGGGGCGAAAGCCGGCCUUAGUGAUCCGACGGUUCCAUGUGGAAGGGCCGUCGCUCAACGGAUAAAAGUUACUCUAGGAUAACAGGCUGAUCUUCCCCAAGAGUUCACAUCGACGGGAAGGUUUGGCACCUGGAUGUCGGCUCAUCGCAACCUGGGGCGGUAGUACGUCCCAAGGGUUGGGCUGUUCGCCCAUGAAAGCGGUACGUGAGCUGGGUUCAGAACGUCGUGAGACAGUUCGGUCCAUAUCCGGUGUAGGCGUUAGAGCAUUGAGAGGAGUCUUCCAUAGUACGAGAGGACCUGGAAGAACACACCUCUGGUAUACCAGUUAUCAUGCCAAUGGUAGACGCUGGGUAGCCAUGUGUGGAGUGGAUAACCGCUGAAAGCA
rnacentral:rRNA from 1 species